rnacentral:tRNA from 4 species
GGGCGAUUAGCUCAGCUGGCUAGAGCAGGGGACUCUUAAUCCCAAGGUCCAGGGUUCGAAUCCCUGAUCGCCCACCA